rnacentral:rRNA from 2 species
UGGUGGCCAUAGCGUCGGUGUCCCACCCGAUCCCAUCCCGAACUCGGCCGUGAAACCCGACUGCGCCAAUGGUACUACUGCUCAAGCAGUGGAAGAGUAGGGCGUCGCCA